rnacentral:lncRNA from 1 species
CCCGUUUCCACCUUUCUGUCAGGUCAUAGAUAUAAAUUACAAUUCUGGCCCUCAUUCACCCUCACAUAGCUUUCUGGCAUCCUUUCCCAUUCUCUGAACAUGAGAGGAAUGAGAAGGUUAUUUGGAAGGUCGCUGAUCUUAGGAGUUGUCCUGCUACAGUUACCGGAGAAUCUUGAAUUUCAUCUGAAAAGACUGCAAGGCAGUCGGGGCAAGCAUGCUAUGAGAAGUCAACUGAGGAAAAGACAGUGAGAGAGCAAGAGCAGAUUGAGAAGCAGAAGAGUGAGUCGCAAAAAGAGAAAAUGACAGAAAUGGAGCACCCUGGUAUCAUAAAAUAUGCUUGAACUUGGGUUAAUUCCUCUUGGACUGAAUUGUAGUGCCAUAAACCAAGCUUUUCAAAAAGAUUGGAUGCAAAACUAUUAUGGCAACAGGAAUUUUUAUCAACAUAAAGCAGGAUUUAAUGCAGGAAUAAAAAAGCUGUCUUCUUGACAGAUAUAAGCUGGUAGCUGAG